UUGGAGAAAACUCAGACUUGUCUGACUCUGACCCAGAGAUUGUUAUUAAAAGGCCCUCUGAGUUUGAUCUUGCUGAUACACUGCCAUGGGAACUUCAACAUGAAAGCAGUCCUUUACAGAAAGCAGCAGAAUAUGAGAAGGGUGCUGGGGAUCUUGUGCUUGCUAAUGAAGUACAACAGGUAAAAAACUAUUUUAUUAGUAAAACAGUGCAGCAGACAAUCUCCACCGCCUUUACUUUGCAAUUAGAUAACGAUUCACUGUUUGCUGAGCCCCCAGAAGAACCUGUGUUAGUAAUUUAAACAUUUGAAUCCAAUUAACCGCCAUCUUGUUCUAUACAAGACAUCAUGCAAUCAUGAGAGAAGUAUAUAUACCUUUAAAAAAAAAAAAGUUUCCCUUUUUUUUAGAGACACCAAUUUGCAGGCACAUGGAAUUAUUGCAAAUUUGGCACUGGAACUUGACCACAAGAAGGUCAGCAGGUUCAAUAUAUCAAGGUCAGCUGUAUGGGAUGGAGCUGUUAGAGGAUUUCGACGCAGCACAUACUCUGACAACUACGACAUGUUCAUCAAGUUUAAUGAUGAUGCUGGCAGCUUUGAAGAAGGUUUGGAUACAGGUGGCCCGAGGCGUGAAUUCCUCACACUUCUUAUGGGCAGUCUGCGAAAUCGCCCCAUCUUUGAUGGACCUCCAGAGAGCCGUUAUCUUGUAUAUAAUUCAAGAGGUGGAUGUUUUCUCCGUAAUUAUUACAAUGGAAAUUUUAAUAAAAAUUGGCGUAUUUUUUUCAUUAGCAUAUUUAAUAGCAAUUAACCAUGAUAAUUAUGUGCCCUGUAUAACAGCUGCCAGGCAAGAUGAGUACUUUUUAGCAGGAAAGAUGAUCGCUGUAUCCAUUGUGCAUGGGGGACCAGCACCACAUUUCCUCUCCAAGAACCUGGUCAACCACAUCACAGGGAAUCAGAGUUUCAGCGCCACUGUAGAAGAUGUGCAAGAUGAGGAGAUCACAAAAAUUUUACAUCAGGUCCUGAAAGCUGAAUCAGAGGAGUCUUUGCAUAAUCUUAUUUUGCAAAACAGCACAAUCUUCCAAACUGCUGGAUGCCUCAGAAACGUCAAGCCUUUUGAGAAACAAGCAUUUGUGGAGGAGUACCUCAGAUGGUACAUCCUUGAAAGAAACCAAAGUGUCAUUCAACGGUAA
rnacentral:lncRNA from 1 species